CCUACGGGGGGCUGCAGUGGGGAAUAUUGGACAAUGGGCGAAAGCCUGAUCCAGCAAUGCCGCGUGAGUGAUGAAGGCCUUAGGGUUGUAAAGCUCUUUUACCAGGGAUGAUAAUGACAGUACCUGGAGAAUAAGCUCCGGCUAACUCCGUGCCAGCAGCCGCGGUAAUACGGAGGGAGCUAGCGUUGUUCGGAAUUACUGGGCGUAAAGCGCAAGUAGGCGGUUUUUCAAGUCAGGGGUGAAAGCCCGGGGCUCAACUCCGGAAAUGCCCUUGAAACUGGCAGGCUAGAGUCUUGGAGAGGUCAGUGGAAUUCCGAGUGUAGAGGUGAAAUUCGUAGAGAUUCGGAAGAACACCAGUGGCGAAGGCGACUGACUGGACAAGUAUUGACGCUGAGGUGCGAAAGCGUGGGGAGCAAACAGGAUUAGAUACCCCGGUAGUC
rnacentral:rRNA from 1 species